GACGAACGCUGGCGGCGUGCCUAAUACAUGCAAGUAGAACGCUGAAGGAGGAGCUUGCUCUUCUGGAUGAGUUGCGAACGGGUGAGUAACGCGUAGGUAACCUGCCUGGUAGCGGGGGAUAACUAUUGGAAACGAUAGCUAAUACCGCAUAAGAGUAGAUGUUGCAUGACAUUUACUUAAAAGGUGCAAUUGCAUCACUACCAGAUGGACCUGCGUUGUAUUAGCUAGUUGGUGGGGUAACGGCUUACCAAGGCGACGAUACAUAGCCGACCUGAGAGGGUGAUCGGCCACACUGGGACGGAGACACGGCCCAGACUCCUACGGGAGGCAGCAGUAGGGAAUCUUCGGCAAUGGACGGAAGUCUGACCGAGCAACGCCGCGUGAGUGAAGAAGGUUUUCGGAUCGUAAAGCUCUGUUGUAAGAGAAGAACGAGUGUGAGAGUGGAAAGUUCACACUGUGACGGUAUCUUACCAGAAAGGUACGGCUAACUACGUG
rnacentral:rRNA from 1 species